UCCUGCUGGCCCCUGUCUGUCUCUGUUCUGUCUGUUAGUUGAGUAGAUGCCUGUGUUGUGUUUGCAGCUUGUCUGUCCAUCAUCACUUAGUGGCCUGAGAAUGUUGAUUAGAGGCUGCGUCUGAAUCCUGCAGAUCCGCCUAAAUCUCUGAGGACAGACGAGUGCAGAUUAACAGCCCACACACGCGCGUGUUUCUGCUACAGCUAACGUGCACGUUGGUGUUGAUCAGGUUUCCCUGGAUCUUUGGUGUCAGGAUAAACUCUGAUGUGUGGGUAAAGGUGGUAGCGCCGUCACGUCAUCAUCAGUGAAAGCACACACAGAUUCUUUUGCAUUGUUUCAGCCAUAUUAGUAAGAGGAUGUGCACAGUUUUCAGGGUUAAGAAGACAAGUUUAAAACUGAAGGUAGGUGCGUGUUUGUGUGUCGCAAUGGUCUGAAUGCACCACAUUAGUAUCCACCUCAUGUGGUGUGAAGCUGGACCAGUGUUUGUAUGUCAGUGAGUGUGGUUACAGACUUAUCUGUAAAUACAGACAAAACGUUAUCAGUCAGUGGUGUCUGAUGUCAUAGCGACAAUACGGAUCUGGCUCAAGUCUGACGGGAGGCUAACUGGUGUGAUGUGCUGGUCACCGUCGAGUGAUUCUGAUGCUGUACUUUGGCAAAAAACAUUCUAG